rnacentral:lncRNA from 1 species
AUGUCCAGCAGUGCUCUCCUGCUGUGUUUGGCUGUGACCUUCUUUUUUCUCUGUGGGGUAGGGCCACGCGUCAAGCUGUAUGGCUGUGUCAGUUCAGGGACUGCAGCGAAGGGAAUACGUGCUGGGAAGAGAAAAAUGAGACAAGGCUGGGAUGAGAGGCUCAGCCAUCCCUGGAUAAAAUGUUUGAGAUCACGCUGGAAGUCUGGCAAAGUUCACCUUGUGGAAAGGAACACAUUCAGAAGGGGCACAAACUUAGGAAGAUCCUGUCUGGGAUUAACUCUGCUGAGGACACUGGAGUGCAGCACGGAGCGGGCAGGUCCACGGGUCUGUGGGUGCUAAUGGUGCUGCACCAGCACCUGCGGAGGGCUGAGAAGGGGCAAAGCAAAAAGCUGCUCCUCAGCUUCCAAAUGGUGCUCCCAAGAGGAGAAUUGCUUCAGAAGGAGCUCCUCACAGGUAUUGGAUCCCUUGUAUCUCUUGACAAACCUUUGCACUGAGAGAUAUCUCUUUUUUCAGAAAAUAAUAAAGCUGGGCAGCUUGCAAGCCGCGGGCUUGCG